UCUCCAAUGACAAGCAACAACCCUAUGUUGCUUGCCAUGCCACAUCAUUUUUUCAAGCUACAAUAAAUUUAAGCUAUAUACUACUCCAAUGGCAAGCAACAACUAGUUCUAGCUUGAAUGUGACCCACUUUGCCGACUAAGCUCUUAUUCUUGCAUAUCAUUGGUAAUUUAACAAAUGGGUCCCACCACUUUUAAAGCAAGCUAUAUGGCUUGUUUGAGCAACAUUGCCCACCCAAGCUAUAUUGCUUGUUUUAAUCCAAUGGUUGGGCUACUAGCUAGAAACUUUUAUGAAUUGCAAGCAAGUCGUAUUUUGUAACCAUUGGAGAUGCUCUAAUCUAAUUAGAACCCAAACUAGAUUGCAAGUAAAAUGUGCGAAGGUUGACAAUUUGUUAUUGGGAGACUUCCCAACUUGUAUGAUAUCUGAAUUAUGCUGUAAUAUCCCGAAAAUUUAAACUUCCUUAAAUUAUAUAAUAAUAAUUAGUGGCUAAUUUUUUUUCAUUCAUUUAAUAAAAAGUUAUAAUCGAAAUUUCGUUAUUUUAUGUCCAAGUAAUGGAUAAUUAGUUUGUUAGAAUAUAUAUAUUUAUUAUGUACGGCAAGAGUUGCAAUUAAUAACAAGUUUUGUUAAACGAUUUCAUUAAUUAAAAUAAGAAAACAAAAUAAUACACACAUUAGAUACUAGAACUACCUCUAAUCCAAUGUUAGAACAAAUUAGUGGUAUUGGGAUUAGAAAGGAAAAGAAAAAGAGAAAAUAAAAGAAAAGAAAAGAAAAAAAAAAGAAAAAGGAAAACAUCAAAAUGAAAUUUUGUUCAACCCAUCCCCAUUUUCUUUCUUCAAAAACCAACCCAAGUACCCGAAAUGGAGUUUUAACUCCACCCAUGAAUUGUUAUUCCCAAACAAACUCUUCUUCAAUUAAAAACCUCAAUCUAAAUCAAACCCAUCUAAAAAUCCAAUUUUUAUCAAAUCAAACCCACCCAAAUUUCAGUUUUCUUCAAAACCCACCCAUGAACUCAAAAUGGGUUUUUGUACAUAAUCAAACUUAUUUUCAAACUAAAUUCAUUACUCAAAUCAAUUCACCCAAUAACCCAUUUUAUUCUCAUUCAAUUUCAUCAAUCCAAUCGGGUAAAAUUUGAGCUCAACCAUGGCUAUAAAUAGCCAUGUUCAUCUCCUCAAACAACCACUCACCACUCACAACUCCAAUUAAAUCCUCGCCGGAAAACCACCACCUUCAAAAACACCCCUCCAAGUUUCCAUAUUUUCGCACCACAACUCUCUUUCCUCUGUUUUCUUUUUUUUUCGGCCACCACAACCUGCACCACCGAAGCGCCACCCUCCGGCGUCAGUUGCGGCAACCAGCGCGCCUCCUUGCGCCACCAACCGCACCGUCGUUUUCUCUUUCCUCUCGCCUGCACCUCCGCACCGCCAUCUCCUCUCUCUCGCGACUCUUCUUCUCCCUCUCGUGUUUCCCUCUCUCUCCUCCUUGCGCCGACGAACCACCCAGAACCGCUGGUUUACGCGCCUCCCAUCGCGAUGCUCCGCCACCUGCUGCCGGAGCUCCACCGCCGCAGUCAACCUCUUUCCUCCCUCCCCUGUUUUCGUGGUCUGCUCAAUUGAGCAGAGAUUAAACGGAAAGGAUAUUACAGCCUCCCCCGGCUUUCAAGGUUAUUAAGCAGGAAUCCAGGUAUGAGCAUAGCCAUUGCAAGUGCGCUGUUAAUAAAGAACAUGUUCAAGGGAAAGUGUGCGGCAUCUGGUGUUAGAGAAAUUAUUAUUAUUUGGGUCGAGUAUUUAUGUAUAGUUAUCAAGGACUAUUUAAGGUUGCAUUGUAUUAGUGGGCCAUAUCCCACAAGCUUAAGUUCCAUUUCCGCUGCUAAGUAUGAGCAAUUGUGUUUAAUUAAGGUUAUGAAU